rnacentral:rRNA from 1 species
GUAACAAGGUUUCCGUAGGUGAACCUGCGGAAGGAUCAUUAUUGAAUAAAGCUUGGUUAGGUUGUCGCUGGCUCUCCGGGGCAUGUGCACGCCUGACGCCAAUCUUUUCACCACCUGUGCACAUUUUGUAGGCUUGGAUAAAUAUGUCUCGAGGAAGCUCGGUUUGAGGACUGCCGUGCUGCAAAAGCCAGGCUUUCCUUGUAUUUUUCCAGCCUAUGCAUUUUAUUAUACCCUCGGUAUGUCAUGGAAUGUUAUUUGGUUGGCUUAAUUGCCAGUAAACCUUAUACAACUUUCAACAACGGAUCUCUUGGCUCUCGCAUCGAUGAAGAACGCAGCGAAAUGCGAUAAGCAACGUGAAUUGCAGAAUUCAGUGAAUCAUCGAAUCUUUGAACGCACCUUGCGCUCCUUGGUAUUCCGAGGAGCAUGCCUGUUUGAGUGUCAUGAAAUUCUCAACCUUUCCAGCUCUUUGUUGAAUAGGCUUGGAUUUUGGGAGUUGUUGCAGGCUGCUCAGAAGUCUGCUCUCCUUAAAUGUAUUAGCGGGGCCCUUGUUGUCUAGCAUUUGGUGUGAUAAUUAUCUCACGCCAUUGUGAACAAUGUAAUAAGGACUACCCGCUCGAACUUAAGCAUAUCAAUAAGCGGAGAGAAAAGAAACUAACAAGGAUUCCCCUAGUAACUGCGAGUGAAGCGGGAAAAGCUCAAAUUUAAAAAU